UAUUUGAAUCACCAGUUUCGUCUGAUCACCGAAGUUAAGCAACACUGAGCCUGGCCAGUACCUAGAUGGGUGACCAGUUGGAAAUAACAGGUGAUGUAAG